rnacentral:RNase_P_RNA from 1 species
GAAGCCCACCAGACCACCGCUGGUGCAAUCUGGGAAACCAGGCACUGGAGGAACGUCCGGACUGCAUAGGGUGGCGUAGCAGCUAACGGCUGUCCACUGACCAGCCUGCCACGCAAGUGGCGGGCCCUAAGGUGAGGAUUAGAGCAACAGAGACGAGUCGGUGUAGACAAACCUUGCGGGUGUUCUAUGCGUGCAGCGCGGCGCAAGCCGCGCCCCGGGUAACCGGGUGCGCAUAGCCACCCGAUGGGCGAAGCCACAUCGGGUGAAACGGGCAAUCUCUACGCGCAGCAAUACCAAGUAGGCACACGCAAAGCGAGGCGGUUCGCCGCAGCGCCAUGACCGGGACCCCCGGAGUGUGCGGGUAGGUAGCACCGAGCCGUUUGGGUGACCAGCGGCCCAGAGUAAUGGUGGUCACGCGCAGGGCAACUUGCGUGCACAGAAUCCGGCUUAUCGGUGGGCUUCACAC